AGACACUGCACUCACUCCUCCACAUUCCUGCUCCUGGACUGUGUUGUCUGCAGCAUGGACAGAGGGACAGAGCUCUCCUUUGCUGCCAGUUAGUUUUUUGAUAACGGAGGCCGAGAAGUUCCCUGGACUGCGGGUUUUUUUUUUCUUUUUCUUGGAACUGUUCAAACCUGCUCUGGACUGAGCACCCAGAAUAACACCAGGAGCUCACACCUGUGGCCCAACGGGGCCCAAGACGUGGCAUUUUCCAGCACAGGAGGGACAGAUGAUGUCAUGCAUCAGAGAAAAUUGAUACUGGUCAGAAGCAAAGAAUUGUGUACACCUUUAUUUUGGAGAAGAAACUGAAGUCCAUUUCACCCUGGUGUAUCUGUCUUUUCAAAGGUUUCCUCGGAACCAGCAUCUUCAAACACACAUUUGAGAACAACAAUAGUGGAAUGGAUCAUAGAACCGUAGAUCGUUUUGACCUGAAAGGACCUUUAAAGAUUACCUGCUCCAGCCCCCACCUGCUAAAAGCAGGGACAUCUUCAACUGGAUAAGGUUGCUCAGAGCCCUGCUCAAUUUGACCUUGAAUAUUUCCAGGGAUGGGGCACCUACUACCUCUCCGGGAACAAGUUCCUUUGUUUUCAUCAACAUCAUUGUAAAAACUUCUUUCUUAUAUCUGCUCUGAAUUAACUAUCUUUUGGUUUAAUACCAUUUCUCUUUGUCCUGUCACAAAAAGACUGUUAAAAAGUCAGCCUUUUUUCAUAUAUGGACAGUAUAUGUUGGUAACCUUGAAAAUACACACAAAUUCCUUUUCAAAAAAUAUAUGUACACUCUAAAGAGGGAAGUGAUUUUGUGUUGAGAGUCUGAUUUAAAUGCAGCUUCCUGGUAUAUAAUUAUUCAAAAACCAAAAAAGUAAUUAUAUAUUUUGCACUUUGAUUAUGUUUCUGAAAUCUUGUGAUCUGAAAUAGUGGAUUUCUUUUGUGGUUUUUGGUGGGUUUUUUUGGUUGUUGUAUUUUUGUUUGGUUGGUUUUGUUUGCCUGUUUUGCCUUUUUUUUUUUUUUGAGGGAGAAUUUUUGUGAUAUGUUUUUUCUUGAUGCUUUACUGAAUUACUUGAAAACUAAAAUAAUUUAAUUAAUGAACUUCUGAAAAGGCAAGAAAGCUUUUGUUACCAAACUAUUUUCUCUUCUAUUAAAAAACUUAUACCUGUUUAUAUUUAAAAAAAAAAUAGAACAAUUCUGAUACAUGUUUGCUUCUAUCUUGUCCUGGGCAGAUAUUAAAUUCUGCCACAUUUUGCAACAAGUACAGUAAGCUUCCAAAGGUUCCACACUGCUGCUAGUUUUCCAGCUGCUUCACCAGAAUCACAGCUGUGCACAACUCUGCUGAUGUUCCUUCUUAUCUUUGGCUAGAUUUUGAAGCAGUACUGUGAUCUGAAGAAAAGUAUCAAGGACUUGCUAUUUAAAUUUUCGACAUGAAUAAUGAUAAAGGCUGCUUCUCCAUCCUGGCCAUUAAUUCCAUAUCUCAUAUGAAGGUUCAUACUGCAGAUAUCUGCUUGGAGAGUCCAAGGUUGUACUAUUCUCUUUGGUAAUUCAUCAGUUACUUUUGAAAGCUUUGUGGGAGAUCCAGAGAAAGAUUUGCUAAUUUGUGACUGGAGCUGCAGCACAAAGACAACUGCAAUUUUUAAAAAAAUGAAUGUUAGUUGGCUGCCUCAUAGGUGAAUAAACUAGCUAAUUGGGUUCAAUAUUAUUGCAAGGAAACAUUAAAAAAAUAUUACAAGAAAGACAGUUUAUCUGUAUUUAUACUUGAAAACAAAUUCUUGUGUCAUACAGAAAGUUUUCUUCCAGACAGCAGCAACUUUCUACUGUAUUUAUAAUAAUUGACAUUUCAUCCCUAAUCCUUUGCAAAAUAUUAAACAGUAGUGUGGCUCCUAGGGUUUUUUUCUCUUUCAUAUUUAAAUACAAAUGGUAUGUCAAUGGCAGAAAAAGGAUUACAAUUAAUUUUUCAAAGACUCUUUGUAAAUAAUUAGAUUUAUAUUUCUUAUACUGAAUUCUAAUCCUUCAUGUAAAAAUUUAAAUGAAAGAUUAUAUGUACCUUUUCAAAGUUUUUGCUUUAUUCUACAUCUUGAGCACUUAACUAUUGCACAGAACAUAGAAACAAAAAACAUUUUAUUGGGCAGGACAGAAGAAAUGUCCAUCACAUAUAUGAUAUAAAUGUACAAUAUUUAGCUCAUACUUCUUUGUGUUCAUGUACAAAAUUUUUACGUGUCCUAGAUGUGAGUCAGGGCAAUUCCAAACACAAAUACUAUAUGGGCAGAGAAUGGAUUAAGGGUAACCUUUAGGUGAAAGACUUGGGUGUAGUGGUGCAAAAAAUGCUCAACAUGACCAGGCAAUGUACAUUUGCAGCCCAAAAAGGCAAUCACAUCCUGGGCUACAGCAAUAUUAAUGUGACUAGCAGGUGGAGGGAGAUGAUUGUCUUUCUAUAAUCUGCCUUGAUAGACCCUACCUGGGGUACUGCAUUGAAGUCUGUGGCCCUCAGUAGAAAAAGGACAGGGACUUGCUGGAACAAGCCCAGAGGAGGGCCACAAAUAGCAGCAGAGCUCUGCAGAAUUUCUAUGAAGACAGGUUGAGAGAGCUGGGUAGCCCAGCCUACUGAAAAAAGUCCCCAGGGAGAACUUUUAGCAGUCACUUAGUAUGUAAAGGGGGCUUUGAGAAACCUGGUCUAAUUGA